CUAUACCCAUGUGAAUUGUGCUUCAAUUAUGCUAGAUUGACACGGCCGUGUGGUCUGCUCGUGUGAAGAGGUCCAGGCCGUGUUGAUUUCGUACUUUGGCCCAUUUUCUCUGUUUUGGGCCCGUUUCUCGUUCCUUUCACUCUCCUAUGCUCUCCUAAGUAUAAAAUAUGAAAUUAAAGCAUUAGGAGCAUCGAAUUCAUCAAUUCUAAUGAGAAAUCAUCCAUAAAAUGCAUUAAAC
rnacentral:lncRNA from 1 species